GGAGCUUUAAACUUUAUUUAAAUAAGGGGCGAAGAAAAAAAGUUGAUUGACACAGGUUGAAUCAGCCAUGCGGUCAGGAGGGGGAGGAAAGAAACUUUCAAAAGGAAGAGGGGGGGAGGGGAGACGAGGAAAGAAGGCGGAAAAAAAACCACUCCGGGCAGCGCACUUUUUUUUUUUUUUUUUUUUUUCUUAAAGAGGAAAAGUUUCGAGUCCCCGGCGUUGCUGGCGCCCCUCCCCGAGCCGCACGGGGCAGAGGGGGAGGGGCCCCCCUUUGUGAGCCUUGCCGCGCGGCCCCGUGACAUCACUCAUUCCACUCCCUUUGGGGUGCUUGUUGUUGUGUUGUUGUUUUUUGUCGGGCAGGAAGGCGGGCUCGACUUUCUCUUUUUGCAAGCUGGAGCUGGAGCCUGUCCUGUUGCGCCCGGGCUGCGGUUUCCAUCUUGCGCUGUUCUUGCCUUCAAACUUCUCCAAGUGUCCGCACAACUCACCUUUUCCUGACUUCUUCGGCCACACCUGGUUCCCCUCUGCAAACCUGGUUGGGCCAGGACGUGGAAAUUCGGAGCGCCCCAAAUGUUCAAGUCUACAGAAUUUUGUUUUUUUUCUGCCGGCUAAGGGAAGGGAGGGAGUAGAAACGUUUUUUUACACCCCCCCCCCAAGGACCCAGCCUGGCGGGGGCGAGCGCGGCGAGAUUCAGCUCAGCACGCGUCUACACUCCUGUUUGCCCUACCGCCUGCGCUCGAGUGUGGACCUGGGGGGUACGUUGGAGGGGGGAAGACCCCAGCCCUGGCAGAUUGUUAGUUUUUAAACUGGGCUAGGCGUGGCGCUUCUUUGACAUAUCCAAUCUUAAUAAACUUUAGUAUAGAAAAUCCUGAAUCUUUCAUGAAGUCCCUUCAUUUGCCAUGCAAAAAAAAGAAACCACCCACUGAGCAACGAGCCACUUUCCACGCGCGCUUUGAAUUAUGGGCCGCCCCCCCAUACACACGCACAGAGUCAUGAACAAAAGUUAUUUCGUUGAGAAUGAAGGUAAAUAAGUGGGGGAAGCGACACUUUUAUUGUUGCUGGUCGGCCGCCCCCGCAAGAACGGAAAAUAUGGUUUGUCACCAUGCGCUGUUUUUUUUUGGGGGGGGGGUCCUAUGGUGGCAUAGGAUCCCCAAAACUGACCCGCAGUGAAUUACAACAACUCAAACGAUAGUGCGGGCUUAUUUCCUGUUAGGCUGAGCUCCCUCCUCCCCAUCCGCUCAAACACCAAGUUGCGAACGAGUCCCCGGGCCGCUCCCCGCGCCUCUAAACAGGCGCUGCGGUGUAGACCCGGGCGGGAGUCGCGGGCUGGGCUCGCGCGCUGCCUCCUAGCACUCCAGGCCGCCGGGUGUUAUGAAACCCGUGCGCCGAGCUGCGAGCAAGUUCCAUUGCGAUGUAAUUAGGUCACCCCAUUAUGAGCACGUUUCUUUGGAAAGGACGAGGCAGGCGGAGCAGAGUGCUCAAGGUCCCCCCCCACAACUGUUUACUGCAUUUCUUAUUUAUUCGUCAACCUCCAGGCAAGCCCAGAGAAACCUUCCAAAGCACAACUGUUUAAGGAACCACAUUUUUUUUUAACUUGGCGAAACACACUUUUGUAGCCACGAACCUACGUGAUCUCCCCCAGCGGGGUUUGCUUUUAUUUGUCUCCUCUAACGUGAAUUGAUGGCCCCCCAUUUUAACCCGGCCGCUGCCCCCUGGCUUCUUCUGCCGCUGCCUCCAGCCGCCUGUUGCUUCUCCCCACCCCCUGCCCCAUUUUUCAUCUUUUCUCGAAAUCUGGCAAGCGCCAGAAAGGAAAAUAACUUCCAUCCACCUUAAUUUAAAUCAUUCAAGUAUGUAGGUUUCUUUCUUACAGCGAUGUUUGCUCGUUUUCUUCCCCAGCUUCAAGAAGUGGGUGUUUGGGGCGGCGGGGGGGGGGGCGGGUUUCGUGCAGUUUCUUGGUGAUGAGGGUAAUGAGUUCCAGAUUUCAGGACAGAGUAGGGUGCGCGUUAAAACCACAAGGUUAGUCUGAGCUCUGAUGUGAAGCUAUUUCGGUCUCCCCUUCCCACCCACCCCUAAAAAGGGCUGGCUGGUCUUUAACUCCAGAGAGCUCGCCGAGCUCAGCAGAGGGACGAAGAUGGGGACCCUGGUCGGUCCCCAAGGACCACCGGCAGUCCUUGAGGGCCGAGAGCACCAGCCCGGGUCUCAGCGCCCCAGGCUGGCUAAGGAGUGGUUUUUCCAGAAAGAAAGGCGAUUCCUCGAAUUUCCUCCGUCAGUCCAACUCCCCCCCCCCCCUUCUUCGGCUCCCCAAGACCCAGCAGGCUCCCUCCAAGUUGUUUACCGGCCCCGCCGACCGCCCGGGUUUGUUUCAGCUCCCGGAGCCUGGCUCUAUAAUUAAACUUUUUUUUUAAUUGUCGGGUUGAGACGUCAUUUCAGGGACUUUCCAAGGGUGAGGGAGCCGAGGGGAGGGAGCAAGCGCCUUUAACCCUUGGCGUACCCGGCGUCUGGCCGCGCUGCCGCUCAGGUGUGCAGGCGGGAACGGCGGCGGCGGAGGCCCGCCGCAAGGGGGCUCCUGGCACGCCCUGCGCCCGCGCGGCCGCCCCUCCACCUGCGCGCGCGCGUCGGCCCGCAGGCCCGGCCGCCCGACUUCCGGCCGCUGCCAUUCGCCCGGAGUCAGGCCCGCGGGGAGGAGCCGGGCCAGGUAUUUUGGCUGGGGGUGGGAUGGCGCUGUUAGGUUUUCACAAAGAGGGAAAAGUGAAAGCCCUCGGGUGGAAGGAGGCGCAGCAGCUCGAUUCCUCAGCCGACCCGGAGCCGACGCACCUCCCGGCAGGUUUUUGUGAAAACAAAAGUUCUUUCUCUCUGGGACAGAUAAACAAGAGUGAGAUUUCUAGGUCAUAUGGGAUCGAACUCACGACUGCCUGCUUGCAAGGCAGGCGCUUAUGCCACUGAGCUAAAUCCCCAGCCCCGAUUUUACCAUUUUAAUAGGGCAUAUGCUGAAUGAAAAUGGGACCACUCUGUUCCCAGUUCAACCUAAGGUACUUGGCAUAGUACCAAGCACAUACUAUGUCUUCAGCGCUGGGGAAGCAGGCCGGCCGGCAGGCAGCAGGAAUCUCUUGCAGCUUCUGAGCUUCAGUUUCUGACUUUCUCCCUAAGCAUUUCCUGGGGUGGAGUCACAGCCAGCCACCCUCCCCUGUCUCACCUUGGCACGGCUGCUGAGCUGACACCAAGCACUGUGCUAGAUCGCUCUGCAGUCACACUGUGGCACCUGCAGCAUCAGCUUUUCUUCCAUUCCAAGAAAGUGAGAGAGAAGGGGAGAGAUCAAGUCUGUUUGCUUUCUUCCUGGCACAGUUAUAGCUACAAGGAGACCAGAGCUCUGUCCCUAAUCUCCAUCCCAAUCCCCUAGCCAGUUGUGAGUAUCCACCCCAGGAGUCCUGAACUUUAGGGGGUUAUUGGCUAGCGAAAGCCUUUUUAAUCCCGUCUACCUCUGCUUCAGCCUCCCCAAAGCACUGAGCACACAUUCUUCUUACUGCCUGAUACCUGAUCAGUCUCCUCUGUUACAUCCCUGACCUAUUAAUAGAAAAAGAAUUUCAAAUGGAACCAUCAUAUUGCUAUUUUUAAAACCAAAUUCUUGAAUUUGGAAAUCUUUGUGUAGCUCAAAUGGGGGAAACUGAGGCAUGGGGCAGGAAGGAAAUAGCAUGUGACCUGUGCUCACUGGGGAUAGAAGAGAUCAAAGUCCAGCCUUUGCCUGGCUCUGAGACAUUUCCAGCUGCACUGGAAGGAGCCAGGAGCUGAGGAAGACAGGGCUGUGUCUAGGAGUUUGCUUCUUUGGCGUCAGACCUUGGAGGUGGGUAGAGCAGGCACACAUGAGGAACCUCAGAAAUCUGCUGGGCUCAAGACUUAAGCUAUUACAUGUGGAUAUGGACAUGGGACCCCAAGUGCCAGUUUGGCUCUUUUGCAAACUCACUCCCUGGGUCCAAGGAAGAGGGGAGGGAGCACCUGUCCUGUGCUCUCCUUCUCCACGCUGGGGGAAGACUGGGCCUAGCAAGAGAGACAGGGUAGCCUGGACAGGAAAAGGAGAGAAGUGCGACAUGGAGAUUCUGCAAGGGCUUCUUGUGUUGUCGUUGUUGUUUAUGGGGUGGGAGAUGAAACCUGGGCUCACACACACCCGGCAAGCACUGUACACAGGGAGUUCUUGCGCUAAACUAAGGGGUGUGUUCAGGACAGAUCAAGAGGAUCACAAAUACUAGUAAAUUGUGAAGUGAUCCAAAAGAGACUAAGUUACUCUUUUGUCCCAUGAUCAGCCUAUUUGCUUUGAAAUUGUCCUGCCUUAGUACAGCAAGGCUGGGGUAUGGCAGACCCAUCCUGGAGAGCCUUUCCUUUAAUAAACAGGAACUCUGCAGUCCAACCAGAGAAGGAGUCAACAGCCCUUGGAGACUAGCUCUGGACAGCCGGCACAGAGAGCAGCUGGACCUUUGCCACGGUCCUGUGACCUCUUUCGUGCUGAGUUUCUCCCGCCAACUGCGCCAUCCACCCUGGGGGGAGGGACUGUGGGCCCCCAAAGCAGGGCCUGCCCUUGUCUGACUAAAGGCAACCAGAUCUGCUGCAGCUGCUGGAUAUCAGCCUCUUUGAGCAGUCCCCCUGCAUCCCAAUGCCCACUGGCCAAGUGUGGAGACUUUGAGGAAAAAAGAGACUUUUACUGGGAAGUAUCUGUUAUAUCCCCAGAAGACCAACUUCUACUCAGAGCAAGGAUCAAAGGGCAGCAGGAGCUGGGAGAAAGCUGAAGCAGACCAAGACAGGACCAAGAAGUGAAGCAAAGGAGGCAAAAAUGAAGCUCAGUGCAGCUGAACCCCACCCUGGCCUGUGUUCCUGUCCACACGGAACUCCGCACAGUCUGACCUAGCACCCACGACACAGACAGCUGCAGCCAGAGUGAUCGACUGAAGAGAUGGCAGCCCUCAGAGACCUGACAAACGGCGUUGCUGCCCAGAUUCAGAAAUCUGCCCUUCCGGGAGCUGCAUUGUGAGGAUAUGACUAAAGGCUGAACAGUUCUUAUUUUAGGGAUUUUCUUUCUUUUCUCUUUGAACAAAAAGCAGAAUUCAAAAGCUGUUCUGAAAAUUUGAACACUAACCGAAUGUUGGUCAUGUUUAAGGGAUGUUGGUAAUUUUCAGGUUGAAAUAAUGUGGCUAAAUGUAAUGAGCCUGAUUUUUAGAGUCGCACUGGAAUACUGAUAGCAAAGUGAUAUGAUCUGCCUUCCAGGAUUUACUUUAAAAUUGUACAGGAGCGGGGCUGUAGGUGUAGCUCAGUGAUACAGCUCUUGCCUGCAAUGCAAGAGAAAACGAACAACAAAAUACUUCCACGAGAGGCGGCUUGGAGGAGGCUGAUGGUACACUUGAGAGGGACAUGGUGAGUUGCCAGAGCUGGGGUGCUAGGGUUCAUGGUGUUUAAAAUUGUAAUAAAAGUGUUUUCAUGAAAACUGAA